rnacentral:rRNA from 1 species
CCCUUAGAUGUUCUGGGCCGCACGCGCGCUACACUGAUUCAUGCAACAAGUUUUGUCCUUGGCUGAUAGGCCUGGGUAAUCUUUGAACGUGAAUCGUGAUGGGGAUAGAUGAUUGCAAUUAUUCAUCUUCAACGAGGAAUUCCUAGUAAACGCAAGUCAUCAGCUUGCAUUGAUUACGUCCCUGCCCUUUGUACACACCGCCCGUCGCACCUACCGAUUGAAUGGUCCGGUGAAAUCUUCGGAUCUGAGAGAUGUCUGAUUAAUUUCGGACGCCUUUUGGAAAAGUUGCUUAAACCUUACCAUUUAGAGGAAGGGGAANUCGUANCA